GAUUUUGCCAUCGACAGCCAUCAAUACCGUUAAGCACAACUACCUUGCUGUUUCCCAUUUAACAACAGAAAUAAAUGCUCAACUGGGACCACUGGCCGAAGUGAUUUAUUUUGAGAAAACACAACGCAUGGAGAGUACAUUAUACAUCUGUUACACUGGUGCCGUGACCCGGAUCACUGGUUGCUGCCGAAAAGGAGGAGGUCAAAAGGGGGUGAUUCACAGGGUGGAGGUGACAGAGGAGGUAGAACUGAAAUGGCCUCGUGGUUUGUGGGUGAGUGUGUCGAAGCUGAGACCAACGAGGCACGCUAGAGGUGCGAGCCACAAGGCCCUAACCAAGACCGACCCAGAUGAGUGCAAUGCUGUUGCUGAAGUGACUGGAAUUCGAAUGGCAUUGACCCCAAUGACACAAUUGUGAACAGACUGUGGUCCACGCUGUAGGAACACUAGCCGCUUCAGGCGGAUCAAGUAGAGUCACAUAGAGGACAAAGAGGAGCAGCAAGGAGAAGAGGAGAUGGGGUGAGUGUUUGCUAAACAUGGCCACUAGCCUUGGGGUAAAGGAAAGGGACAAGACAACAAGGUGAGGGCAGACAGAAUGGAAGUUUGUCAUCUGAAUGUUUGCUGAAGGCUCAGGCAAGGG